AUUGAACGCUGGCGGCAGGCCUAACACAUGCAAGUCGGACGGUAGCACAGAGGAGCUUGCUCCUCGGGUGACGAGUGGCGGACGGGUGAGUAAUGUCUGGGGAUCUGCCCGAUAGAGGGGGAUAACCACUGGAAACGGUGGCUAAUACCGCAUAACGGCGCAAGACCAAAGAGGGGGACCUUCGGGCCUCUCACUAUCGGAUGGACCCAGAUGGGAUUAGCUAGUAGGCGGGGUAAUGGCCCACCUAGGCGACGAUCCCUAGCUGGUCGGAGAGGAUGACCAGGCACACUGGAACUGAGACACGGUCCAGACUCCUACGGGAGGCAGCAGUGGGGAAUAUUGCACAAUGGGCGCAAGCCUGAUGCAGCCAUGCCGCGUGUAUGAAGAAGGCCUUCGGGUUGUAAAGUACUUUCAGCGGGGAGGAAGGCGAUGUGGUUAAUAACCUUGUCGAUUGACGUUACCCGCAGAAGAAGCACCGGCUAACUCCGUGCCAGCCGCCGCGGUAA
rnacentral:rRNA from 1 species